AUGUUGCGUUCACAUUUUAAGAAUAGAGCCUAUAGAAUAGAAACUGUCUCAGGGUUGAACCUAGUGAGGGCAUACAGGAACGGGCUGGAUAAAAACGGAUGUCAAAAGCACAUCCCAAGGCUGAGAGAUUUUUUCAGCACCUCUCCAAAUCCCCCAUCCUCACACCCCCAAACUACUGCUGCUCCCUACAAGCUAAGCUUCCCCCUUCACCUCUUGUUGUUUGCAGGUUUACCUCACACCUCCUCCCCCAAGAUGUCCUGCUACUACGUGUGCUGCUCCCCAAGCUACAGGACCGUGAGGACCACCCGCCGUACCUACAGCUCCUGCUACAGACCCCGCUAUUCCUCCUGCUACAGCUCCUGCUGCAGCCCCUGCUACAUCUCCUGCUGCAGCCCCUGCUACACCUCCUACUGCAGCCCCUGCAGCUACCGCAGCUGCUACACCCGCUACUGCUACCCCUCGUACCGCACCUACAGCUCUGGGUGCUGCUACUGCUAAACCCAACCCGACCUGGCUCAUCUCGGCGACAUGUUCAGCAGUGCUGAGCCCCUCCUGCAACAGCUGAAGUUACCAAAAAUGGGAAGCUUGGCUGCUUUCUAGGAUCUCUCAGCACUUCUAUAUUAUUUGCUCUCUUUCCUUCUUCCUGCAUUCCUCAGCUAUGAGUUCUCUCAAUAGUCUCCUGCAUUUUAGACCCCUUUGGCAGCGGUGAGAACAACUUGCAGUUCUUUUGGAGCUUCUUCCAGUUGCCUCAGCAUUGUUAAAGAACUUCUGCAGCAGGAAAAACUAACCCGGGUCAUCUGCAUUUUCACUAAGCACUUGCAGCAAGGUGCUGUAGCACUGCGUAAUGGAGAAGCAUUCUGGCUGUGCCUCCUUUGAUCUGGAUUUACAAGUACCUUAAGAACGAGCAACACAGCUUCAACAAAAAAGAAUGUUCUGUACAGCGUAGCAUGGUGACUCACCGACUCCAGCAUGCCAAAACUAUAAUCUUUCUGUAUCUGUGUCAACUUUUUUUCUUUCUGCAUUAAAAUUCUCUGUGUGAGAAAAAAAAUCCAAGUUCCAGUCCUCUUUUGUCAGUCCCUUGAUUAUGUGGAUAUGGGGAGAGCAGUGGCAUUCAGGAGGGAAUUUCUGCCCCUGAACGCAUGCAGAGCAGCUAGCCUAAGGAAAUGUGCUGUAUUCCUCACUCUAAACCUCAGAAAUUUGAGGAAUUCCACAAUUUCUCUUUUGCCUCUAUUAAAUGGAAUCUAUUCCAGAUUGAAGGUUAAUGUAUUUUAGCAUAAUGGGGCUGGGAAUGUCUUCAUUAUAGUUCUUUAAAAUAGAAGACUAUGUCCCAGACCUCUAUAGAGAAUAGAUUAAAAAUGUUCAGGCGAGUUGAGUAGGCGCAUUCCUACAAAAUAAAAUUCAGGUUUUAAACUGGAAGAGGGGAGAU
rnacentral:lncRNA from 1 species